rnacentral:rRNA from 1 species
CCUACGGGUGGCAGCAGUGGGGAAUAUUGCACAAUGGACGAAACCCUGAUGCAGCGAUGCCGCGUGCGUGAAGAAGUCUUUCGGUAUGUAAAGCUCUAUCAGCAGGGAAGAAAACGACGGUACCUGAUUAAGAAGCACCGGCUAACUCCGUGCCAGCAGCCGCGGUAAUACGUAGGGGGCAAGCGUUAUCCGGAUUUACUGGGUGUAAAGGGAGCGUAGGCGGCAGCACAAGUCUGGAGUGAAAUGCCGGGGCUUAACCCCGGAACUGCUUCUGAAACUGUGCAGCUAGAGUGCAGGAGAGGUAGGUGGAAUUCCUGGUGUAGCGGUGAAAUGCGUAGAUAUCAGGAGGAACACCGGUGGCGAAGGCGGCUUACUGGACUGUAACUGACGUUGAGGCUCGAAAGCGUGGGGAGCAAACAGGAUUAGAUACCCGAGUAGUC